rnacentral:rRNA from 1 species
UGAGUACGAGACGCUAAGGCGUCGAAGUAGUGGAUGUCAUACUUCCAAGAAAAGCUUGCACUGUCAUAAAUAAAAACGCCUGUACCAUAACCGACACAGGUGGGUAGGUAGAGUAUACUAAGGGGCGCGAGAUAACUCUCUCUAAGGAACUCGGCAAAAUAACUCCGUAACUUCGGGAGAAGGAGUGCCUUAUUCGUAAGGCUGCAAUAACAAGAUCCAAGCAACUGUUUAUCAAAAACACAGGUCUCCGCUAAGUCGUAAGACGAUGUAUGGGGGCUGACGCCUGCCCAGUGCCAGAAGGUUAAAGAAGUCGGUUAGCAUUAGCGAAGCUGGUAACUGAAGCCCUGGUGAACGGCGGCCGUAACUAUAACGGUCCUAAGGUAGCGAAAUUCCUUGUCGGGUAAGUUCCGACCCGCACGAAAGGCGUAAUGAUUUGGAUACUGUCUCGGAGAGGGGCUCGGUGAAAUAGACUUGUCUGUGAAGAUGCGGACUACCUGCACCAGGACAGAAAGACCCUAUGAAGCUUUACUGUAACUUGAAAUUGAGAUUGGACUUUAUUCGCGCAGUAUAGGUGGGAGGUGUUGAUUAUAAUCUUGCGGGAUUAUUGGAGCCAUCAGUGAGAUACCACUCUUGUAAUGUUAGAUUUCUAACUUUGAAUCAUUAUCUGGUCAAAGAACAGUUUCAGGCGGGCAGUUUGACUGGGGCGGUCGCCUCCUAAAUGGUAACGGAGGCGUACAAAGGUUUCCUCUGAACGGGUAGAAAUCGUAUCUAGAGUGUAAAGGCAUAAGGAAGCUUGACUGUGAGACCUACAAGUCGAGCAGGGACGAAAGUCGGUCUUAGUGAUCUGACGGUACUGAGUGGAAAGGCCGUCACUCAACGGAUAAAAGUUACUCUAAGGAUAACAGGCUGAUCUCCCCCAAGAGUUCACAUCGACGGGGAGGUUUGGCACCUCGAUGUCGGCUCAUCGCAUCCUGGGGCGGUAGUACGUCCCAAGGGUUGGGCUGUUCGCCCAUGAAAGCGGUACGCGAGCUGGGUUCAGAACGUCGUGAGACAGUUCGGUCCAUAUCCGGUGUAGGCGUUAGAAUAUUGAGAGGAGCUUUCUUUAGUACGAGAGGACCGAGAAGGACAUACCUCUGGUGUACCAGUUAUCGUGCCAACGGUAAGCGCUGGGUAGCUAUGUAUGGAGUGGAUAACCGCUGAAAGCAUCUAAGUGGGAAGCCCACCUCAAGAUAAG